AACGAACGCUGGCGGCGUGGCUAAGGCAUGCAAGUCGAACGGAUCUAUCCAACGGGUAACUGAAGGGUAGAUUAGUGGCGAACGGGUGAGGAAUACAUGGACAACGUACCCUGGACACGGGGAGUAGCGGCGGGCCGGCAAGGCUCUUUAGCGAAAGUGCCGGUAAUACCCGAUGAUCCCGCAUGGUCGCAUGAUCGUGUGGGCAAAGCUCCGACGGUCUGGGAGUCGGUUCAUGCCCUAUCAGCUAGUUGGUGAGGUAACGGCUCACCAAGGCGGCGACGGGUACCGGGCGUGGAGAGCGUGACCCGGCACAUCGGAACUGAGAUACGGUCCGGACACCUA
rnacentral:rRNA from 1 species